rnacentral:rRNA from 1 species
AUGGCCAGCUUCGCCUCCCAGCUCCUGGACGUGUUCUACGACCUCGUCGAGCGCGUCACCGGCUACAGCGCCCGCGCCCAAGACGACAAAGCGCAUGCAGAUCUACAGAAGCACAGCAUGUUGGCAACUAGGGAGGCUUUCCGGACAGAGGAAGUUGUCGAGAUCAGGUCCAGAAAUCACCCGGAAGUACCAGGAGGGUCAGGCGCCCAGGUCAAUUAA